GCGCAGCAGGCGCGAAACCUCCGCAAUGCGGGAAACCGUGACGGGGUCACCCCGAGUGCCACCCGAUGAGGGUGGCUUUUCCCCGGUCUAAAAAGCCGGGGGCAAUAAGCGGGGGGCAAGUCUGGUGUCAGCCGCCGCGGUAAUACCAGCCCCGCGAGUGGUCGGGACGUUUAUUGGGCCUAAAGCGUCCGUAGCCGGCUCGGUAAGUCCCUCCUUAAAUCCACGGGCUCAACCCGUGGGCUGGGAGGGAUACUGCCGGGCUAGGGGGCGGGAGAGACCGAGGGUACUCCCGGGGUAGGGGCGAAAUCCGUUAAUCCCGGGAGGACCACCAGUGGCGAAGGCGCUCGGCUGGAACGCGCCCGACGGUGAGGGACGAAAGCUAGGGGAGCAAAGGGGAUUAGAUACCCGUGUAGU
rnacentral:rRNA from 1 species